AGAAGACGCUGGCGGCAGGCCUCAAACAUGCAAGUCUAGGGGGUGUAGCAAUACAUCACCGGCGGACGGGUGCGUAACGCGUGGGAAUAUACCUAUUGGUUCGGAACAACUGAGGGAAACUUCAGCUAAUACCGGAUACGUCCUAACGGAGAAAGAUUUAUCGCCAAUAGAUUAGCCCGCGUUCGAUUAGCUAGUUGGUGGGGUAACGGCCCACCAAGGCGACGAUCGAUAGCUGUUCUGAGAGGAAGAUCAGCCACACUGGGACUGAGACACGGCCCAGACUCCUACGGGAGGCAGCAGUUGGGAAUCUUGGACAAUGGGGGAAACCCUGAUCCAGCCAUGCCGCGUGAGUGAUGAAGGCCUUCGGGUUGUAAAACUCUUUCGCGCACGACGAUAAUGACGGUAGUGCGAGAAGAAGCUCCGGCUAACUUCGUG
rnacentral:rRNA from 1 species